rnacentral:lncRNA from 1 species
UAAUAAAUUCUAAUAUGUUUUCAAACCUAAACCUUUCUAAUAACCAAAUAAUCGAACUCAAAAUACAAAAAAUAAAAACAUUUUGAAAAUAAUUAAAAAAUGCAAACAAUAGAGCCCUUAAAUAGUUGAAUCUGGGUCCCAAAUUUGGCCAGAAUAAUUUUAUCGUCCAACGUGUAGAUCUUGAAAAAAUAUUUUUCGAAUUGAGAUUGUAUGCUGAAAAGUUUGAUCGUUUAAAAAUUUUUACACUAAGAGUGUGUUUGGAUACUCGUAAAACAGCUCAGAAAAGUAUUUUUCGGUUGAAAAAUUAAUUUCC